rnacentral:rRNA from 1 species
CCUACGGGGGGCAGCAGUGGGGGAUAUUGCACAAUGGGGGGAACCCUGAUGCAGCGACGCCGCGUGGGUGAAGAAGCGCCUCGGCGCGUAAAGCCCUGUCAGCAGGGAAGAAAAUGACGGUACCUGAAGAAGAAGCCCCGGCUAACUACGUGCCAGCAGCCGCGGUAAUACGUAGGGGGCAAGCGUUAUCCGGAUUUACUGGGUGUAAAGGGGGCGCAGACGGGGGUGCAAGCCAGGAGUGAAAGGCCUGGGCCCAACCCCGGGCCGGCUGUUGGAACUGCGUGGCUGGAGUGCAGGAGGGGCAGGCGGAAUUCCUGGUGUAGCGGUGAAAUGCGGAGAUAUCAGGAGGAACACCGGUGGCGAAGGCGGCCUGCUGGACUGCAACUGACGUUGAGGCCCGAAAGCGUGGGGAGCAAACAGGAUUAGAUACCCUUGUAGUC